rnacentral:rRNA from 1 species
GACGGGGGGGGGCAAGUGUUCUUCGGAAUGACUGGGCGUAAAGGGCACGUAGGCGGUGAAUCGGGGUUGAAAAGUGAAAAGUCGCCAAAAAAAGUGGCGGAAUGCUCUCGAAAACCAAUUCACUUGAGUGAGACAGAGGAGAGUGGAAUUUCGUGUGUAGGGGGUGAAAUCCGUAAAUAUACGAAGGAAACGCCAAAAAGCGAAGGCAGCUCUCUGGGGUCC